GAUGAACGCUGGCGGCGUGCCUAAUACAUGCAAGUCGAGCGAACGGACGAGAAGCUUGCUUCUCUGAUGUUAGCGGCGGACGGGUGAGUAACACGUGUAUAACCUACCUAUAAGACUGGUAUAACUUCGGGAAACCGUAGCUAAUACCGGAUAAUAUUUUGAACCGCAUGGUUCAAAAGUGAAAGACGGUCUUGCUGUCACUUAUAGAUGGAUCCGCGCUGCAUUAGCUAGUUGGUAAGGUAACGGCUUACCAAGGCAACGAUGCAUAGGCGAAGUGAGAGGGUGAUCGCCGGCACUGGAGGUGGGACACGGUCAAGGGUCCUAAGGGAGGCAGCAGUAGGGAAUCGUCCGCAGUGGGCGAAAGCAUGACGGAGCGACGCCGCGUGAGUGAUGACGGUGUUCGGAUCGGAAAGAUGUGUUAUUAGGGAAGAACAGAUGUGUAAGUAGCUGAGCAGAUAUUGACGGUACCUAGUCAGAAAGCCACGGCUAACUACGUG
rnacentral:rRNA from 1 species